GGGGGCGUUACGGAUUCGACAGGGGUGGUUCAAGCUCUGGUCGCGCGUCGGAGGUCUCGGCUCCGUCAUCAACGGAAGUUAUAUAAUAACUGGCAAACAACAAAACUUAGCUUUCGCAGCGUAAGCUCGUAGGCGCUCUGCCUGUCCAUCGCCCAUGUGGACUACGUAGGGCUCAACUUUCAGUGGGAUACGGUCUGGUGGUGCCGCUUGAGUCACCGACAAGAGAUUCCCAAGCUAGCGUGCAGGACGCCUGUCUGUCGGCAUAAUGCCACGCGAACCGCAAAUAGACAAACUACACGCGUAGAAGCCGGCGUAUUGGAGCUUCUGGACGCGGGUUCGACUCCCGCCGUCUCCAUUU
rnacentral:tmRNA from 1 species